AUAUUCUCGACCACCGGUCGGAUUUUGGAUGUUGCUGGCCGUCGAGUCGGCUCAUCUUGAAACGCAUAUAGCUUGCUAUUGUGGAAGGCGGGAUGCCCGUGAUAAGUGAAAAAGUCUUAGGAAUCGGGUGCUCGCGUUCCAUUUCAGUACUUAAUUGA
rnacentral:misc_RNA from 1 species